rnacentral:rRNA from 1 species
AGUGAACGCUGGCGGUAGGCCUAACACAUGCAAGUCGAACGAGUGGCGGACGGGUGAGGAAUACAUCGGAAUCUACUCUGUCGUGGGGAUAACGUAGGGAAACUUACGCUAAUACCGCAUACGAUUGAAUGAGCCGAUGUCGGAUUAGCUAGUUGGCGGGGUAAAGGCCCACCAAGGAGACGAUCCCUAGCGGGUCUGAGAGGAUGACCAGCCAAACUGGAACUGAGACACGGCCCAGACCCCUACGGGAGGCAGCAGUGGGAAAUAUGGCACAAUGGGCGAAAGCCUGAUGGAGCAAUGCCGCGUGUAUGAAGAAGGCCUUCGGGUUGUAAAAUACUGUCGGCGGGGAGGCGUUACCCGCAGAGGAAGCACCGGCUAACUCCGUGCCAGCAGCCGCGGUAAUAC